rnacentral:rRNA from 1 species
GACAGAGGCCCCGAGCGUUAGUCGGAAUCACUGGGCUUAAAGGGUGCGUAGGCGGGCGCGUAAGUGUUCUGUGAAAUCCCCGGGCUCAACCCGGGAACCGCAGGGCAUACUGCGCGUCUCGAGGAAGCUAGAGGCCGGCGGAACGAUCGGUGGAGCGGUGGAAUGCGUAGAGAUCGAUCGGAACGCCAAGGGUGAAGACAGCCGGCUGGGGCUUUCCUGACGCUGAGGCACGAAAGCGCGGGGAUCAAACAGG